rnacentral:misc_RNA from 1 species
CCUAACCUCCCACCCGUGAAUACCUGACCAACGUUGCUUCGGCGGUGCGCCCCCCCGGGGGUAGCCGCCGGAGACCACACCGAACCUCCUGUCUUUAGUGUUGUCUGAGCUUGAUAGCAAACCUAUUAAAACUUUCAACAAUGGAUCUCUUGGUUCCGGCAUCGAUGAAGAACGCAGCGAACUGCGAUAAGUAAUGUGAAUUGCAGAAUUCAGUGAAUCAUCGAGUCUUUGAACGCACAUUGCGCCCCCUGGCAUUCCGGGGGGCAUGCCUGUCCGAGCGUCAUUGCUGCCCUUCAAGCCCGGCUUGUGUGUUGGGUCGUCGUCCCCCCCGGGGGACGGGCCCGAAAGGCAGCGGCGGCACCGCGUCCGGUCCUCGAGCGUAUGGGGCUUUGUCACCCGCUCGAUUAGGGCCGGCCGGGCGCCAGCCGGCGUCUCCAACCUUCUAUUUUACCAGGUUG